rnacentral:rRNA from 1 species
UACGUAGGGCGCAAGCGUUAUCCGGAAUUAUUGGGCGUAAAGAGCUCGUAGGUGGUUUGUCGCGUUGUUCGUGAAAACCGGGGGCUUAACCCUCGGCGUGCGGGCGAUACGGGCAGACUUGAGUACUGCAGGGGAGACUGGAAUUCCUGGUGUAGCGGUGGAAUGCGCAGAUAUCAGGAGGAACACCGGUGGCGAGGGCGGGUCUCUGGGCAGUAACUGACGCUGAGGAGCGAAAGCGUGGGGAGCGAACAGG